AGGAGUGUAGCUCAGUUGGUAGAGCACCGGUCUCCAAAACCGGUUGUCGGGGGUUCGAAUCCCUCCACUCCUG
rnacentral:tRNA from 1 species